rnacentral:lncRNA from 1 species
UAGUGCUGUUGUUAGAUGUGGCGCAAGUGUGGCUCUGGAUCUGUGAGAUCAUCACUGGGUGUUAGUGUAGUAGAGUAGGGUUAUGGAACUUAACUUUGUUUAGGAGUAUUGCGUUCCCGCUUGUAUUUUGUAAAGACCUUUGCAGUCUUGUUGUAAUCGUGAGAAGUAUGGCGGCGCGAAGAUAAACUAACAGAAACCGACUGACCUACUAUGGGAAAUGACCUGAAUAUCAUGUCGGAUUCGAAAUGUGGGCACUGGUACUUUUAAGCAUGUGUACUUCUCAUGCCUCUGAUUCUGUUUUUCAUCUGAGAUCGAAGCAGUUACUCCUGGGCCAAUACUGCAUUGUCAUUUCUCAACAAGCAGAUGCUGAAGUGUGGAGUUGGCAGUGCACACAGUAUUUUUUAUUUAUUUUUGACAGUGCACACAGUAGCAAUUUUCCUAACAAGCAGAGACCAUGUGAUCUGGGGACUGGUAGUAGCCAUCGGCAUCGAAGCAACUAGACUGAUAGAAACUGCCUGAUUUCUGGAGAAAUGCUUCAAAUGAAACUUAUGUUUAUGUAUGUUUUGCAACGUGCGUAUGAGUACCAGUAAAACAUAAAGGGGAGCGAAAAUAGCUGACUCCCUAAAGCACGGCUCUUUACAAAUUCAGUUCAGGCUUGUGGCCUUGUGGGGGUUUCAAGCAUCGCAGACCCUGCAACUUUUGCGCUGAAACAUGGAGACUGGAGAAGAGUAGUGCAUCACCAUUUCCUGGUUUCACUGCAAGUCAAGACCAAAUCCUUGUUUUGGAAUGGGCGUUCCUGUGAAAUCUCUGGUUGCCAAUAAAGUUGGUUCAUAUAGGACAUGCAUAUUGUGGGCGUUCCUGUGAAAUCUCUGGUUGCCAAUAAAGUUGGUUCAUAUAGGAUGCAUAUUGUGACGUGUAAGGGCAUCUCCAACGUCGACUCUCAAACCGCCUGCAUACGUUCGGAUAUCGGUCUGCCGAGCGGUCCGGACCCACUUUUCCGCAAACGGGAGGCUUUGCGGGAGUCUAGACAUUCAUUUGCCCAGUGGAAAGCCACCACGCGCCCUCGUCCGUGCAUGAUGGCGGAAGGCCGAUGCUAUUUGGCAGAAUGGGAAAACUUGAUUAUUAACUGAUCAGCACGACGUUUUGGCCGAAGGCUUCAAGCUAGCUAGUUUGAUUUGGCGGAAGGCACAUUGUGCGAGCGGUAAACGUCUUGCCCUUGUCGAGGGCGACGUGUUCACGUUAUAUAGCAGGGGAGCCAAAACCCUAGAUGGCUUACAUGCGGUUUGAGAGAGAGAUAAGAGAGAAUCUAGGAUACAUCUUGUGAGAGAAGAAAGGAGGAGAUGGUUACAAGAAUAUCUCAAUACAAACUACCUCCUAGCCUUAUCUCUAAUAUGCCUGGCCUUAUCUCUAAUAUGCCGCAUAUGAUGGUGUUUAACACCCCCCCCCCCCCAAUCACAACUUCAUCAGGUUGAGAUUAUGCUUAAACUCUUCAAAGCUUCUGAUAGGCAAGGCUUUAGUAAACCCAUCUGCAACUUGAUCUCUAUAGUGAAUGAACCGAAUAUCAAGCUGUUUCCAUGCAACUCUUUCUCUGACAAAAUGAAAGUCUAUCUCUAUGUGCCUUGUUCUGGCAUGAAAGACUGGAUUUGCAGAUAAGUAGGUAGCACCAAGAUUAUCACACCACAAACAUGGAGUUUGAGAACUUCGGAUACCAAGUUCCUUUAGCAUUGAUUGAACCCGUAUGAUUUCAGCUGUAUCAUUUGCUAAUGCCUUGUACUCUGCCUCUGUGCUAGACCUAGACACUGUGGCCUGUUUUCUUGCACACCAUGAAAUCAAGUUUGGUCCAAAAAAUAUUGCAAAUCCACCAGUGGAGCGCCUGUCAUCCAGACAGCCUGCCCAAUCAGAAUCAGAGAAAGCACUAACAAGAGUUGAGGAUGACUUGCUGAAGUUAAGACCAAUGCUCAAAGUAUGUUUGACAUAUCUAACAAUGCGUUUUGCAGCAGUCCAAUGCACAGUGGUAGGAGCAUGCAGAAACUAACAUACCUUGUUGACAGCAAAAGAGAUAUCAGGCCUUGUUAGAGUCAAGUACUGUAGUGCACCUACCAAACUCCUGUACUUUGUACUAUCCUCUUGAUUCAAAAGUUGCCCUUCUGUGAGAGAUAGCUUUUCUGAGCUAGAUAAUGGAGUGAAGGAAGGUUUACAACCUUGCAGGCCUGCCUUUCUUACCAAAUCGGUUGCAUACUUCUCUUGAGAGAGAUGAAGUCCAUCUUUGUGUUUCUUCACCUCAAUCCCAAGGAAAAAAUGGAAAUCUCCAAGAUCCUUGAGAGCAAAUUCUGCACUUAAAUCCUUCAACAAUGAUGCAAUGGCCUCACUAGAUGAGCUUGUAACAAUAAUAUCAUCAACAUAGAUGAGAACAAAUAUGCAUGUAUUGAGCUUAUUGUAAAUAAACAGUGAGGUAUCUGACUUGGAAGGGACAAAACCAAGUGAUUGCAUCUUAUGACUAAGACGGGAAUACCACGCCCUUGGGGCCUGCUUCAAGCCAUAGAGUGCUUUAUCAAGUUUGCACACAAACGAGGAAUUAGACUUGCUCUCAAACCUAGGAGGCUGUUUCAUAUACACCUCUUCUUCCAGAACACCAUGAAGAAACGCGUUCUGUACAUCUAGCUGUCUGGGACUCCAUCCUCUAGAAACAGCAAUAGACAGAACAAGGCAAAUGGUGGCAGAUUUUACAACUGGACUAAAUGUAUCCUCAUAAUCAAUACCAUAUCUCUGUUUAAAACCUUUGGCAACAAGCCUAGCCUUGUAUCUAUCAAUAGUUCCAUCAAAUUUCCCUUUAACUCUGAACACCCACUUGCAAUCUAUAAGAUUUUUACCUUGCCGUGGGGGAACCAAAUGCCAUGUUUCAUUUUUCUUCAGUGCCACAUAUUCUUCCAUCAUUGCUUUUCUCCACUUUUCAUCUCCAAGUGCCUCAUCCAGAGUUCUUGGUUCAGCAUGUUCAUCUAUAGAAUAAACAAGGCCAUAUUUGCUUUGAUUUUUGUAAUUAAGGGGUUGAGUUACACCUUUUUGUAAUCGUGUGAGCUGCCUAGACUGCAUUGUUGAAUCAACCGGCAUAGAAGAUCUGGAGCCGCGCACAGGAGUCUCUGGUGCAGGCGAUCCCGAGGCAGAUUCGCCUAACACCCGCACUGGAUCCUCUGUGGCUUCAGCACGUGACGGCGAAGUUGUAUCAGCCGCAGAAGAUCCUGGCGCACUUCCUGACGCACCAGCAGGCUCAUCAUGAGCCAAUGAUUGCGCGGCGCCACGAGGAUCAGCACCGAAGCUCGCACCCUCCUGGUUGGUCGGGUCAGCGCUAGAUCCCGCGCCCGCGCCGGUCGGCCGCGCCUGGGCCCGCCGCUUGUAGCAGUGCGGUUGGUCGGGGAAGCGCAUGUCGCCCGCUCCACUGGGCCGCCGCCGCGUGGCAUCGGGCGAGCCACCAGCCUAGGGCUGGUCAACACGCGCGGCAGAUUCCUGUUGGAAAUAUGCCCUAGAGGCAAUAAUAAGUUAGUUAUUAUUAUUAUAUUUCCUUGUUCAUGGUAAUCGUUUAUUAUCCAUGCUAUAAUUGUAUUGAUAGGAAACUCAGAUACAUGUGUGGGUACAUAGACAACACCAUGUCCCUAGUAAGCCUCUAGUUGACUAGCUCGUUGAUCAAUAGAUGGUUACGGUUUCCUGACCAUGGACAUUGGAUGUCGUUGAUAACGGGAUCACAUCAUUAGGGGAAUGAUGUGAUGGAUAAGACCCAAUCCUAAGCCUAGCACAAAGAUCGUGUAGUUCGUAUGCUAAAGCUUUUCUAAUGUCAAGUAUCAUUUCCUUAGACCAUGAGAUUGUGCAACUCCCGGAUGCCGUAGGAAUGCUUUGGGUGUACCAAACGUCACAACGUAACUGGGUGGCUACAAAGGUACACUAUGGGUAUCUUCGAAAGUGUCUGUUGGGUUGGCACGAAUCGAGACUAGGAUUUGUCACUCCGUGUGAUGGAGAGGUAUCUUUGGGCCCACUCGGUAGGACAUCAUCAUAAUGUGCACAAUGUGACCAAGGGGUUGAUCACGGGAUGAUGUGUUAUGGAACGAGUAAAGAGACUUGCCCGUAACGAGAUUGAACAAGGUAUCGGGAUACCGACGAUCGAAUCUCGGGCAAUUACAAUACCGCUAGACAAAGGGAAUUGAAUACGGGAUUGAUUGAAUCCUCGACAUCGUGGCUCAUCCGAUGAGAUCAUCGUGGAACAUGUGGGAGCCAACAUGGGUAUCCAGAUCCCGCUGUUGGUUAUUGGCCGGAGAGUUGUCUCGGUCAUGUCUACGUGUCUCCCGAACCCGUAGGGUCUACACACUUAAGGUUCGAUGACGCUAGGGUUAUAGGGAAUAGAUGUACGUGGUUACCGAAUGUUGUUCAGAGUCCCGGAUGAGAUCCCGGACGUCACGAGGAGUUCCGUAAUGGUCUGGAGGUAAAGAUUUAUAUAUGGGAAGUCCUAUUUUGGUCACCGGAAAAGUUUCGGGUGCUAUCGGUAAUGUACCGGGACCACCGGGAGGGUCCCGGGGGUCCACCAAGUGGGGCCACCGGCCCCAGAGGGCAGCAUGGGCCAAGUGUGGGAGGGGACCAUCCCCAAGUGGGCUGGUGCGCCCCCCACCAGGGCCCAAGGCGCCUAGGGUUUGGGGAGGGGGCGCCUCCACCUUACUUGGGGGGCAAGUUUCCCCCUCUUCCCCCCUUGGCCGCCACCCUAGAUGGGUUUUGGGGCUGCCGCACCCCUUGGGGUGGGAACCCUAGAGGGGGUGCAGCCCCCUCCCUCUCCCCUAUCUAUAGUUGAGGUCUUUGGGGCUGCAAACACAUGAGUUUCUCCUCUCCCUGGCGCAGCCCUACCUCUCUCCCUCCUCCUCUCCCGCGGUGCUUGGCGAAGCCCUGCAGGAUUGCCACGCUCCUCCACCACCACCACGCCGUUGUGCUGCUACUGCACGGAGUCUUCCCCAACCUCUCCCUCUCUCCUUGCUGGAUCAAGGCAUGAGAGACGUCACCGAGCUGCAUGUGUGUUGAACACGGAGGUGACGUCCGUUAGGCACUAGGAUCAUCGGUGAUUUGGAUCACGACGAGUACGACUCCAUCAACCCCGUUCACUUGAACGCUUCCACUUAGCGAUCUACAAGGGUAUGUAGAUGCACUCUCCUUCCCCUCGUUGCUAGAUUACUCCAUAGAUUGAUCUUGGUGAUGCAUAGAAAUUUUUUGAUUUCUGCUACGUUCCCCAAUAGUGGUAUCAGAGCCAUGUCUAUGCAUAGUUUCUAUGCACGAGUAGAACACAAGUUGUUGUGGGAGUUGAUUUUGUUCAGUAUGCUUACCGUCACUAGUACAAUCUUGUUUCGACGGUAUUGUGGGAUGAAGCGGCCCGAACCGACCUUACACGUACACUUACGUGAGAUAGGUUCCACCGACUGACAUGCACUUGUUGCAUAAGGUGGCUAGCGGGUGCCAGUCUCUCCCACUUUAGUCGGAUCGGAUUCGAUGAAAAGGGUCCUUAUGAAGGGUAAAUAGCAAUUGACAUAUCACAUUGUGGUUUUGCAUAGAUAAGAAACGUUAUUGCUAGAAACCCAUAGCAGCCACGUAAAACAUGCAAACAACAAUUAGAGGACGUCUAACUUGUUUUUGCAGGGUAUGCUAUGUGAUGUGAUAUGGCCAAAAGUAUGUGAUGAAUGAUAUAUGUGAUGUAUGAGAUUGAUCAUGUUCUUGUAAUAGGAAUCACGACUUGCAUGUCGAUGAGUAUGACAACCGGCAGGAGCCAUAGGAGUUGUCUUAAUUUAUUGUAUGACCUGCGUGUCAUUGAACAACGCCAUGUAAUUACUUUACUUUAUUGCUAAACCGUUAGCCAUAGUAGUAGAAGUAAUAGUUGGCGAGACAACUUCAUGGAGACACGAUGAUGGAGAUCAUGAUGAUGGAGAUCAUGAUGAUGGAGAUCAUGGUGUCAUGCCGGUGACGAUGAUGAUCAUGGAGCCCCGAAGAUGGAGAUCAAAAGGAGCAAAAUGAUAAUGGGCAUAUCAUGUCACUUUUUGAUUGCAUGUGAUGUUUAUCAAGUUUAUGCAUCUUAUUUGCUUAGAACGACGGUAGUAAAUAAGAUGAUCCCUCAUUAAAAUUUCAAGAAAGUGUUCCCCCUAACUGUGCACCGUUGCGAAAGUUCGUUGUUUCGAAGCACCACAUGAUGAUUGGGUGUGAUAGAUUCUAACGUUCACAUACAACGGGUGUAAGCCAGAUUUACACAUGCGAAACACUUAGGUUGACUUGACGAGCCUAGCAUGUACAGACAUGGCCUCAGAACACAAGAGACUGAAAGGUCGAGCAUGAGUCGUAUGGUAGAUACGAUCAACAUGAAGAUGUUCACCGACGAUGACUAGUCCGUCUCACGUGAUCAUCGGACACGGCCUAGUUGACUCAGAUAAUGUAAUCACUUAGAUGACUAGAGGGAUGUCUAUCUGAGUGGGAGUUCAUAAGAUGAACUCAAUUAUCCUGAACAUAGUCAAAAGGUCUUUGCAAAUUAUGUCGUACUCACGCUUUAGUUCUACUAUUUAGAUAUGUUCCUAGAGAAAAUAUAGUUGAAAGUUGAUAGUAGCAAUUAUGCGGACUGGGUCCAUAAACCGAGGAUUGUCCUCGUUGCUAUGCAAAAAGCUUAUGUCCUUAAUGCACCGCCCGGUGUGCUGAACCUCGAACGACGUCUGUGGAUGUUGCGAACAUUUGACAUACACGUUUUGAUAACUACGUGAUAGUUCAGUAAUAUUAAAUGGUUUACAAUUGAGGCACCAAAGACGAUUUCGAAACGUCGCGGAACAUAUGAGAUGUUUUCGAGGGCUGAAAUUGGGAUUUCAGGCCCGUGCCCACGUCAAGAGGUAUAAGACCUCCGAGGAUUUUCUUAGCCUACAAACUAAGGGAGAAAAGCUCAAUCAUUGAGCUUGUACUCAGAUUGUCUGGGUACAACAAUCACUUGAAUCGAGUGGGAGUUAAUCUUCCAGAUGAGAUAGUGAUGUUUCCCCAAAGUCAUUGCACCAAGCUACUAGAGCUUCGUGAUGAACUAUAACAUAUCAGGGAUAGAUAUGAUGAUCCUUGAGAUAUUCGUGAUGUUUGACACCGCGAAAGUAGAAAUCAAGAAGGAGCAUCAAUUGUUGAUGGUUAGUGAAACCACUAGUUUCAAGAAGGGCAAGGGCAAGAAGGGAUACUUCAUGAAACGGCAAAUUCAGCUGCUGGUCUAGUGAAGAAACCCAAGGUUGAACCCAAACCCGAGACUCAGUGCUUCUGUAAUAAAGGGAACAACCACUGGAGCAGAAUUACCCUAGAUACUUGGUAGAUGAGAAGGCUGGCAAGGUCGAUAGAAGUAUAUUGGAUAUACAUUAUGUUAAUGUGUACUUUACUAGUACUCCUAGUAGCACCAGGGUAUUAGAUACCGGUUCGGCUGCUAAGUGUUAGCAACUCGAAAUAAAAGGCUACAGAAUAAACGGAGACUAGCUAAAGGCGAGGUGACGAUGUGUGUUGGAAGUAAUUCCAAGAUUGAUGUGAUCAAGCAUCGCACGCUCUCUGUACCAUCGAGAUUGGUGUUGAACCUAAAUAAUUGUUAUUUGGUGUUUGUGUUGAGCAUAGACAUGAUUGGAUUAUGUCUAUCGCAAUACGGUUAUUCAUUUAAGGAGGAUAAUGGUUACUCUGUUUAUUUGAAUAAUACCUUCAAUGGUCUUGCACCUAAAAUGAAUGGUUUAUUGAAUCUCGAUCGUAGUAAUACACAUGUUCUUGCCAAAAAGAUAUAAGAUAGUAAUGAUAGUACCACCUACUUGUGGCACUGCCAUGUAGGUCAUAUUGGUAUAAAACGCAUGAAGAAGCUCCAUGUUGAUGGAUCUUUGGACUCACUCGUUUUUCAAAAAUUUGAGACAUGCGAACCAUGUCUAUUGGUGUAUAUGCAUGAAGAAACUCCAUGCAAAUGGACCGUUUGGACUCACUUGAUUUUGAAUCACUUGAGACAUGCAAAUCAUACCACAUGGGCAAGAUGACUGAAAGCCUCGUUUUCAGUAAAAUGGAACAAGAAAGCAACUUGUUGGAAGUAAUACAUUUUGAUGUGUGCAGUCCAAUGAGUGUUGAGGCACACAGUGGAUAUCGUUAUGUUCUUACUUCAUGGAUGAUUUGAGUAGAUACUGAGUAUAUUUACUUGAUGAAACACAAGUCUGAAUUAUUGAAUGGUUCAAGUAAUUUCAGAGUGAAGUUGAAAAUCAUCGUGACAAGAGGAUAAAAUGUCUAUGAUAUGAUCAUAGAGAUGAGUAUCUGAGUUACGAGCUUUGGCACGCAAUUAAGACAUUGUGGAAAUUUUUUCACAAUUAAUACCGCCUGGAACACCAUAGUGUGAUGGUGUGUCCAAACAUCAUAGUUGCACCCUAUUGGAUAUGGUGCGUACCAUGAUGUCUCUUAUCGAAUUACCACUAUCGUUCAUGGGUUAGGCAUUAGAGACAACCGCACUCACUUUAAUAGGGCACCACGUAAUUCCGUUGAGACGACACCGUUUGAACUAUGGUUUGGAGAAACCUAAGUUGUCGUUUCUUAAAAGUUUGGGGUUGCGACGCUUAUGUGAAAAAGUUUUAGGUUGAUAAGCUCGAACCCAAAGCGGAUAAAAUGCAUCUUCAUAGGACACCCAAAACAGUUGGGUAUACCUCUUAAUUCAGAUCCGAAAGCAAUAGGGAUUGUUUCUUGAAUCGGGUCCUUUCUCGAGGAAAAGUUUGUCUCAAAAAUUGAGUGGGAGGAUGGUGGAGACUUGAUGAGGUUAUUGAACCGUCACUUCAACUAGUGUGUAGCAGGGCAAAGGAAGUUGUUCCUGUGGCGCCUACACCAAUUGAAGUAGAAACUUAUGAUAAUGAUCAUGAAGUUUUGGAUCAAGUCACUACCGUACCUCGUAGGGUGAUAAGGAUGCGUACUACUUCAAAGUGGUACAGUAAUCCUGUCUUGAAGGUCAUGUUGCUAGACAACAAUGAACCUACGAGCUAUGGAAAAGCGAUGGUGGGCCCAUAUUCCGACAAAUGGUUAGAAGCAAUUAAAUCCAAGAUAGGAUCCAUGUAUCAGAACAAAGCAUGGACUUUGGUGGACUUGCCCGAUGAUCGGCAAGCCAUUGAGAUAAAUGGAUUUUUAAGAAGAAGACGGACGUGGACGGUAAUGUCACCGUCUAUGAAGCUCAACUUGUGGUGAAGAGUUUUUCACAAGUUCAAGGAGUUGACUACGAUGAGAUUUUCUCAUCCGUAGCGAUGCUUAAGUCCGUCGGAAUCAUGUUAGCAUUAGCUGCAUUUAUAAAAUCUGGCAGAUGGAUGUCAAAACGAGUUUCCUUACCAGUUUUUGUAAGGAAAGAUUGUAUGUGAUACAAUCAGAAAGGUUUUGUCGAUCCUAAGGAUGCUAAAAGGUAUGCUAGCUCCAGCGAUCCUUCCAUGGACUAGAGUAAGCAUCUCGGAGUUGGAAUAUACACUUCGAUAAGAUGAUCAAAGAUUUUGGGUUUAUACAAAGUUUAUGAGAAACUUGUAUUUCCAAAGGAGUGAGUGGGAGCACUAUAGAAUUUCUGAUGAGUAUAUGUUGUUGACAUAUUGUUGAUCAGAAAUGAUGUAGAGUUUCUGGAAAGCAUAUAGGGUUAUUUGAAAAGUGUUUUUCAAGGGAAAACCUGGAUUAAGCUACUUGAACAUUGAGCAUCAAGAUCUAUAAGGAUUGAUCAAAAACCGCUUAAUGGUACUUUCAAAUGAGCAUAUACCUUGACAUGAUCUUGAAGGUGUUCAAGAUGGAUCAGUCAAAGAAGGAGUUCUUGCCUGAGAUGUAAGGUAUGAAGUUAAGACUUAAAGCUCGACCACGGUAGAAAAGAGAGAAAGGACGAAGGUCGUCCCCUAUGCUUUAGACGUAGGCUCUACACUAUGCUAUGUUGUGUACCGCACCUGAUGUGUGCCUUGCUACAUAUCUGGCAAGAGGGUACAAAGGUCAUCAAGGAGUGGAUCACCAGAUAGCGGUCAAAAUUAUCCUUAGAGGAAUAAGGAUAUGUUUCCCGGUUAUGGAGGUGAUAAAGAGUUCAACGUAAAGAGUUGCGUUGAUGCAAGCUUUAACACCUAUCCGAAUGACUCUGAGUAGCAAACCGGGUACGUAUAGUGUAGCGACCAUUUGGAAUAGCUCCAAGUGGAGCGUGGAAGCAGUAUUUACAAUAUGACCUAGAGAUUUGCGAAGUACAUACGGAUCUGAAUGUUGCAGACCCAUUGACUAAAACCUCUCUCACAAGCAAAACAUGAUCAAACCCCAGAACUCAUUGAGUCGUAAUCACAUGAUGAUGUGAACUAGUUUGGUGACACUAGUAAACUCUUUGGAUGUUGGUCACAUGGCGAUGUGACAUGUGAGUGUUAAUCACAUGGCGAUGUGAACUAGAUUAUUGACUCUAGUGCAAGUGGGAGACUGUUGGAAAUAUGCCCUAGAGGCAAUAAUAAGUUAGUUAUUAUUAUUAUAUUUCCUUGUUCAUGAUAAUCGUUUAUUAUCCAUGCUAUAAUUGUAUUGAUAGGAAACUCAGAUACAUGUGUGGGUACAUAGACAACACCAUGUCCCUAGUAAGCCUCUAGUUGACUAGCUCGUUGAUCAAUAGAUGGUUACGGUUUCCUGACCAUGGACAUUGGAUGUCAUUGAUAACGGGAUCACAUCAUUAGGCGAAUGAUGUGAUGGACAAGACCCAGUCCUAAGCCUAGCACAAAGAUCGUGUAGUUCGUAUGCUAAAGCUUUUCUAAUGUCAAGUAUCAUUUCCUUAGACCAUGAGAUUGUGCAACUCCCGGAUGCCGUAGGAAUGCUUUGGGUGUACCAAAUAUCACAACGUAACUGGGUGGCUAUAAAGGUACACUACGGGUAUCUCCAAAAGUGUCUGUUGGGUUGGCACGAAUCAAGACUGGGAUUUGUCACUCCGUGUGACGGAGAGGUAUCUCUGGGCCCACUCGGUAGGACAUCAUCAUAAUGUGCACAAUGUGACCAAGGGGUUGAUCACGGGAUGAUGUGUUACGGAACGAGUAAAGAGACUUGCCGGUAACGAGAUUGAACAAGGUAUCGGGAUACCGAUGAUCGAAUCUCGGGCAAGUACAAUACCGCCAGACAAAGGGAAUUGAAUACGGGAUUGAUUGAAUCCUCAACAUUGUGGUUCAUCCAAUGAGAUCAUCGUGGAACAUGUGGGAGCCAACAUGGGUAUCCAGAUCUCGCUGUUGGUUAUUGGCCGAAGAGUUGUCUCGGUCAUGUCUACAUGUCUCCCGAACCCGUAGGGUCUACACACUUAAGGUUCGAUGAUGCUAGGGUUAUAGGGAAUAGAUGUACGUGGUUAUCAAAUGUUGUUCGGAGUCCCGGAGGUCACGAGGAGUUCCGGAAUGGUCCGGAGGUAAAGAUUUAUAUAUGGGAAGUCCUGUUUUGGUCACUGGAAAAGUUUCCGGUGCUAUCGAUAAUGUACCGGGACCACCGGGAGGGUCCCGGGGGUCCACCAAGUGGGGCCACCGGCCCCACAGGGCAGCAUGGGCCAAGUGUGGGAGGGGACCAGCCCCAGGUGGGCUGGUGCGCCCCCCCCCCACCAAGGCCCAAGGCGCCUAGGGUUUGGGGAGGGGGCGCCUCCACCUUACUUGGGGGGCAAGUUUCCCCCUCUUCCCCCCUUGGCCUCCACCCUAGAUGGGUUUUGGGGCUGCCGCACCCCUUGGGGUGGGAACCCUAGAGGGGGCGCAGCCCCCUCCCUCUCCCCUAUAUAUAUUUGAGGUCUUUGGGGCUGCAAACACAUGAGUUUCUCCUCCCCCUGGCGUAGCCCUACCUCUCUCCCUCCUCCUCUCCCGCGGUGCUUGGCGAAGCCCUGCAGGAUUGCCACGCUCCUCCACCACCACCACGCCGUUGUGCUGCUGCUGGACGGACUCUUCCCCAACCUCUUCCUCUCUCCUUACUGGAUCAAGGCAUGGGAGACGUCACCGGGCUGCAUGUGUGUUGAACACGGAGGUGCCGUCCGUUCGGCACUAGGAUCAUCGGUGAUUUGGAUCACUCCAUCAACCCCGUUCACUUGAACACUUCCGCUUAGCGAUCUACAAGGGUAUGUAGAUGCAGUCUCCUUCCCCUCGUUGCUAGAUUACUCCAUAGAUUGAUCUUGGUGAUGCGUAGAAAUUUUUUGAUUUCUGCUACGUUCCCCAACAAUUCCGUCGCUGGCCGGUGUGGCGCGUCUGCCAGCGCGGAUCCCGGUGCGGAUCUGCUGGACCGCAGCUGGUUCGGCGCCGAUCCUAAGGAGGAUUUGUUCCCCAAAUCUGGACAUAGCCACUAUGGCACUUGGGAGCCAUUUUCCUCAUCAUUUUUUUCGCUGGUUGUUCCUGCAACGUCACAAGAGAACUCGGGUGCACCAUUAGGAGGGUUAGUCGGCAUUGAAUCAUCACAAGUAAUUCCCCCAUGAUCAAGGCCAGUGAGAGAAGAGGGUAGGAGUAGAAUUUCUUUGCGAAGUAAAGCACCGGCGUUGGGAUGAAUAUCAGUGAAAGGAAACUUUGUUUCGUCAAAAACAACAUCACGGGAGAUAUAAACUCGCCCCGUAGACACAUCUAGGCACUUGACACCUUUGUGUUGGCACUAUACCCAAGAAAUACACAUUGCUUUGAUUGAAACAUAAGUUUGCAUUGAUUGUAUGGAUGAAGAUUAGGCCAACAUGCACACCCAAAAACACGAAGAGACGUGUAGUCAGGUUUGGUGUGGAGUAGCCAUUCUACUGGAGUUUCAUUAUUGAUAACGUGACUAGGAAGCAUGUUAAUGAUGUGAACGGCAGUGAGAAAGGCUUCAUCCCAGAAUUUUAAAGGCAUGGAGGCGCCAGCUAAGAGAGCUAGGCCGACCUCAACAAUGUGCCUGUGCUUGUGUUCAGCAGAGCCGUUUUGUGGGUGAGCGUGGGGGCACGACACAUGGUGAGAUAUGCCGAGAGUUUGAAAGAAAGAAUUUAAUUUCUCAUACUCUCCACCCUAGUCUGAUUGGACAGCAAGUAUCUUGCUGUCAAAUUAGCGUUCAAUGAGUGCUUGAAAGUUCUUAAAAACUUGAAAGACAUCAGAUCUUUUCUUAAGAAGAUAAAUCCAGGAAAAUUUAUUGUAGUCAUCAAUGAAACUUACGUAGUACAUAUGUCUACCUACUGAGUUGGGGGCAGGACCCCAAACAUCUGAGAAAAUUAAUUGCAAUGGUUUGGUAGACACACUAGUGGAUAUAGGAUAGGGUAGCUGAUGACUCUUAGCUCGUUGACAGGAAUCACAAAUAGUUUCAAUAUUGCGCUCACCAACAAACGGGAGCUUAUUCUUUCGAAGUAAUUUUUCAACUAAAGAAAAAGAAGCAUGUCCUAGACGAUCAUGCCAUCGUGUGGAUGAAAGCUUGAUAGCACCACAAGCUUGUGUAUUCAGUCUCCUAAGCUCCGGAAUCAACAGGUAGAGUCCACGAACACAUCUACCUCGAUAGAGAAUUCUCUUCAUCACCUGAUCCUUGAUCAAAAAGAAGUAAGGGUGAAACUCAAGGAAGACAUGAUUAUCAAGAGCAAUUCUAUGGACAGAGAGAAGACUUUUGUCGGCAUUAGGAACAUGCAAAAAUUUCCUAAGAUGGAUUUUACGAGAAGGGGUACUAAAACUUGAAUGACCAAUGUGACUGAUCUCCAUACCUUCACCACUAGCCGUGUUUGUAGGAGAUAUGCCCUAGAGGCAAUAGUAAAUGAUAUUAUUUAUCUCCGUGUUCAUAAUUAUGUUUAUGUUCCAUGCUAUAACUGCUAUGGUUCUCGAGUCUGCAAUAACACGAGGCUCAGAGGAAGACUCAUAUGUGCGUGUGGAAUAAUAAACGGUAAGAAGUAUUCUUAGUCUGGCCUCUAAGACUAGCUGAAGUGUUGCAUGAUGGUUCUGUUUUCCUGAUCAUGGGCAUGUCAAUGCCAACAACUUUGAGGGCACAAUGUUAAGAGAACAUUUGUGUUGAAUCGACCCGGAUUGAUGUUAUGCUAUGAGAUUCAUUCGUCACAAGUUAAUGGUACAUAACACAGAGAUGAUUAACGUUUGCAUGAUUCCUUAGACCAUGAUAGUAUCGAGUUUCUUCAUGCUUGCUUCAUGAACUUUGGGGUUUGUUAAACGUCAUCCGUAAAUGGGUGGCUAUUACGGCGGCUUACGGGUUCAUGGAAAAGUAUGUCAAGUAACUUGAUAUCUCAAGAUUGGGAUUUGCUCCUCUGACAAUGGAGAGAUAUUCUCGGGCCCUCUCGGUGUUACGGUAUCCAUCAUCGUCUGGCCAAACACAGUGUGAUUUGAUCACAGGGAUGCCAGAACACGGACACGAGAAAAGAGAACAAAACCAGUAAUGAGGUAAUUAGCAUAGUGGACAAGUUGUUGAUCCAUGGGGAUGCAAGUAAAUCUCACCUCGGGUCUUUGUAACAUAUUGCGAAGCAACAGGAAUAGCAAACGGCAACUGGAGGUUCACUCGUGUAUUCAUUCGUGUGGGUAUAGGGGUUAAUAUGGGUGUCCACGGCUCCGAUGUUGAUCAUUGAUCGAAAAGUGUUCCGGUCAUGUCUAUGCUUCACCGAACCUAUAGGGUCACACGCUUAAGGGUCAUCUAUCUGCUGAAUACUAGACAUGGAGUCUGAGAGAAAUUUGCCGAAAAAGUUUCAGAGACAAUGGAAGAGUUCCGGAGAGAGAAUAGCGAAAUAGUUUCGUAACACCGAAAAGUUGUUUCGUGAUAUACCAUUAAGUCAAAUUGGUUUCCGGACAUGCCUGAUAAUUCUUGGAGGGUGCCAGAAUUAUUCUGGAAACUUAUGGGAAUUUUUGGGGAUAAAAAACGAAAAUGUUUCGGAGCUACCGGUACCGCUUUGGUUGUUUUUCGCAGAUGAAAUUCACUAAUCUGAAAUUGUUUUAGAACAAAUCCAAAAUCAUUUUAGUGGGUACUGUAAUUAUUCUAAGAUCCACAGAAAUAUUUUCGGAUUUAAUGGACGCGAAAAAUUGUCUUCAUGAAUAGUGAAAACGCAUUCUUGUUUGCUUUUCACAGAUGAAAAUCACUAAACAGAAAUUGUUUCGGAACGCGUUGAAAAUUGUUUUAGUGGGUACUGGAAAUGUUUUGAGCCCACAUAAAUAUUUUCAAUUCGAACGGACGCUGAAAAUUGUCCUCAUGAAUAGUGAAAGUGCUUUUUUCUUGGCUUCUUGGAGAAGCCACCUUGAGGGCCUUUUGGUAUUAUCCCCUUGGCUUCUUGGAGAAGCCACCCUUGGGCUUGGCCUAUAAAUAGGGGUGGAGGGGGCUGCCUAAAGAUACACUCUUUCUCACAUACAAGUGCCAUUGCAAUGAUCUGGCUUCUCUCUCCCUCGCAGCGAAAUAGUUUCAUAGAGCCGAAAGGUUGUCUGGGUUCUGGCAGGAACUAGUUCUGGACGGCGAAGCCCUGCCGGAUAGGUGACACCAUAUGUGUGCAAAUCUGUAGAGAGGUCAUAGUUUCGAUCUUAGUGCCCGAGAGGCUGUUCCAGAGUGCCUCCCGAAGGGCUGUCCAAGUGACGGUCCGAGUUCUGUGGGUCCUCCCGAAGGGCUGUCCGCGACACCGUCCGGGGGACUGUUCGACUGCCUCCCGGAGGGCUGUCCGAGGGGCGGAUGAGGGAGUACAUCCUCGCGGUUGGGAGGUUGUAAAUCCUAGCUGCGGGGAUCUGCACCGACGAUUGUCAUCAACUCUACUUCCGUUGCGCUAUGAGUCGGUAACAAAAAUGAUCAAACCUUGUAUGCAGUCUCCAUAGUGGUCCUGGGCUGGUGCGUAGGUCAGAAUUUUUUUGUUUUCUGUCGUGUUCCCCUACAGUGGCAUCAUGAGCCGUGCUAUGCGUAGAUGCAGGUUGCGAUCUAUAAUACAUGGAGAUGUAUGGGUGUUGCACAAUAAUAAUUAGGUAGUAGUUCUAUUAUUGAAAAUUAUUUGUGUGGGUAGAAGAUGAAAUCUGUUACCCGAUAUUGUUGUUGCUUCCCUUAAAUUUGUGUAGUCCUGAUCUUGACAGCAUUGUGGAAUCUGACAAAGUUCUGGCAAUCCGCGAGCCUUUCAUGCUGCUCCUGAGCAUGCUGAUUGACAGAUCAACGAAGUGCUAACAGUUCUUUGGGUUCCACUUUAGUCAAAGAAAGAUGGAUGUUUUGCAGACUAAAGGGUAAUGCAGAUAUGAUCUGCACGGGGGUCAUGCGUAUGACGAAGUUCAGUGUGGGGCUCGAGAUUUCAUUAUCUCGUGUUUCAUACACCCCGAUAAGUUAAUCUAGCGCUUGAAUUAUCAUACUUGAUGAUGGAUGUUGGUAACUUCGGUUUGUUUCGAAACCUUAGAAGCCACGUAAAACAAGUUUUUGCAUGAACCGAUUAGAGACGUCUAACUUGGUUUUGCAGGAGGGUUUGCAUGUGCAUAUGAUGUGGUAUAGCAGUGCUCGUAAUAAUUUGAUUAUGUAUGAGAUGUCUAUAUGAUGUAAAUUGAUUAACAUGACAUGCGUGUCAUGAUUUGGCAUGAUGGUUGGAGCCAUAUGAUUGCACUUUAAAUGACCUGCAUAUCAACCGUGUGUAAUGCAUUAUUUUAUUAGCUAUAGAGAUAACAAUAUUAUCUGGCACAUCGACAAGGUGGUGGCAAUCUUCGCGAAGAUGAACACCGACGCGAACGCCGAAAGACGAAGAAAUACAAGACUUCUCCGUCAUAAAGGGCUAUACCAUAUCAUGCUAAUUAUGAAUUGCCUGAAAUGCUUAUCCCUUAUGAUGCACCCUUCUUGAUUGCGUGGUAGUCGCUUUUAUUAGGGUGAUCUCUCACAAAAAUAUCAAGUAGUUAGUGUUCUCCCAAGUGUAGCACUGUCACGGCACCUAACUUUUCGGGGUAUCGCAGGAUCUCCCUGGGUACGAACGAUUAGGGAAGUGUGAGGCAGGUGAGUUGAGACCUCGCAGCAAGAUCACUUGGUUGUCUUGACAUUCUGGAAGGAUCUCCCUGAGCUCGGAACACGCCCAUCGAAAGAUGAACAAGAGUCACAUAGAGAUGUGAUCGGCAAGUUUGCCUACCGAUUGAAUUUCGUGCCAUCAGUGUUCAUCUCGUUCAAUGGCUUUGAAUGGAUAUGCGGGUCUUGUGUCACUCAUAAUCAAUUUUGAGAGAUAUUGAUUUGAGUGGGAGCGCACUGUUGAAUUAACAUGUUUAAUUCUCAGUGCAAUUAAUUAUGAACACUGUCUAAGUGUUUCUUGCAAAAUAGUUGUAGAAUAAUGGCUCGCUUUUUCACCUUCCCUGUUAAAAUUGAAUAGCUGUUAAAUAUCUGGUUAAAACUUUACGAUUGGUAACGUAAUGUGAGGAUUGUCCUCAAAAGUGCCGAGAAGGACUUUGUCCUAUCGCAUGCUUUCCGUAUCCUCCCGUUAAUGCUAUGGAUCAUGUGACUCUCGUCCUUCAAUCCAAAAGCUAGAAUUCUGUUUCGGUCAAGUGGAAUAUGUUUGCUUCCAUGAAACCCAAACUUUGAAAGUUGGGAUAGUUAUAUGAUAUUCAUGGAACUGAAAAUUAUUUUCAGAUACAAACAAAGCAAUGUUUGUUUGCAAGUAUUAGUAAAAGUGUUUAACAUGCAUUUGACUGUUGGGAAAGGGAUCCAGAAGAACGCCUGUCAUAUAAUAAAAGGUGAAUAAAACAACAACUUAAAGAGAAAGGAAGUGUCCAAAGGGUGUUAGUAUGACUUACACGCCUAGGAAGUCCGGGGCUAACGCCACUCUUAAGUUAGGUGCUUCUUUUGCGAGUAGGAGAAAUACUAAAAGUUAAACUGUUAGAAGUAUAAAGGCAGAAAGAAAGAUGACUGGAAUAUCCAGCUCAUGUAUGAAUGUCAUACAAGUUUUUGAUGUAUAGUAGUCUGGUCAAAGAUAUAGUUCUUGGGAAUUAUGGUUAAACAUGUUAAUCACUAAUUCUUGGGUAUUGUGAGUUAAUCACAAAGAUACCCGCUCGAUUGCAUUCUCUUGCGAAUCAAGGUAAGAGCUACUAUGGCCUGAAAGACUAGCCAGAAAUGAGGUUAUGGUAUACACAGGGAACAUGGUAAAUGUUACUAUACCUUCCAUCGGUGUAUUGUUGUCUGUAUUUAUUUUCAUAAUUCAUUUAGAGUUUUACAAACUCUAGCCCAUUGCAUAAGGUAUCUUGCAAGAAGGUUGUUCAUAAGAGAACUUUUUAUGUUCGAUGUUAUGAAUAACACAAGGGCCAUACUUUCAUUAUGAAUGAGAUGUAUGUUAUGAAUAUUGAUAAUAAUACAAUACCUCUAGGUUUACUUUCAUAAUUCAUUUUAGAGUUUCAUACACUCUAGCCCAUUGCACAAUGUUUGUUGCAAAAGAGUUAUUCAUAAAAACAACAAUUGUUGGUAAGUAUUAUGAAUAACAUGAAGGGCCAUGCUUCCAUCCAAGAUGGGAUGUAUGUUAUGAAUAUUGAUGGUAAUAUGAUACAUCCAUAACACUGACGCUAAAUGUCGCAAGACUAAAAGAAUACUACACAAGUGUGGCACUACAUUUGGUCACAUUGGAGAAACCCGCAUGGAAAAUUCCAUUAUGAUGGAUUUUGAAGUCUUUUUGAUUUUGAAUCAUCUGACACUUGCAACUUUCCUCCGAAAAGUGAAGUGACUGAAAUACCGUUCACAGGACAUAAGGAACGAGCAACAAACUUAUUGGUGAUCAUACAUUUUGAUGUGUGUAGUUCAAUAAAUGUUGUUGCAAGUAGUGGACUUAUAUAUCUUCAGAAAUGACUCAAGUAGAUAUAUGGAUAUUUGCUUGAUGAGACGUAAGUCUGGAUCUUUUGAAAUCAUUCGAAAGGUUUUCAAAAAUGAAGUACAAGUUAUUGUAACAAGGAAAUUAUGUUUCUACAAUUUGAUUGCGGAAAGGAAUAUCUGAGUUACAAGUUUAGCGAAUGUCUGAUGAGUUGUGAAAAGAGUUUCAUAACUUACAACUCCAGGAACACCACUAUGAGUGGAAUGUCUGUGAAGAUGCAAUCAAAACAUUUAUGACAUGGUAAGAUCAAAGAUGACAUAAAUAAAUUUGCCAUUAUCACUUUUAAAGAGUAAUGCUUUAGAGACUGCGGCUUUUACACUGAAAAGAGCUCCAUCAGGUCUGUUGAAAUGACGACAUGGUAUGGUACGCGCAACCAUGUUAUAUCUUUUCUUAACAUUUGGAAUAUGGGGCUUGUGUAAAAGGUUACAAACCUAUUCCAAAUCAGACAAGUGCUACUUUGUAAGUUAUCCCAAGUCAUUGGGUAUUCCCCCACCACUAUACCGAGGCAAAGGAUUUUUGCCACAAAACGAUAUGCUUUUAAAGAGAAUAGUUGUUGCAAAAGGGUAAGUGGGAGGACAGUGCAACUCGACGAGAUAACAAGUAUCUUCGUCAUCAGGUCAAAGGAAAGGAACCUAGGAAGUAAUUCUAGAGUUUCCUACUGCGACUGAUACGGAAGCCUCUACAUUAGAUGUAUGGGCUUCGGUCGAACUUGUAGCUGAAUAACAUAGGCAAAGCUCGUGCAAACCUCUCAGGUGCACAAACGAGAUAUUGUUGUUAGACAAUAGUAUAUGUAUGAUACACAAGGAAGUGUUGAUGGGCCCUGACUCCGGAAUUGGCUGAAUGCCAAUAUAAUCCGAGAUAGUUUCCAUAAAUGAUUCAAGAUUUAAAUCUUGAUAAACCCUUUGAAAGACUUGGAGUCUAGCGGAUUGUAAUGGGACUAUAAACUGAUAUGGAUAAAAAUGUUUUAUCCAUUAAGCUUGACUUGUUGCAAUAACAAGUUCAAGGAGUUGACUACAAUGAGAUUGUCUCACCGUAGCAAUGCUUAAAGUCGGUUUGGGUUAAACUAGCAAUUAAUACAUAUUUCAAACAUGAGAUAUGCAACAUGGAUGACAAAAUAAUUUCCAUGAAAUGGAAAUACAACCUAGGACUUGUAUGUGAUACAGUACAAAGUAUUUUGUCAGUCCAGAGUAUGCUAGUAAGUAUGCAAACUUCAGAGUUCCAGCAAUGGACAGAAGAGAGCAAAAUGGAGUUGGAAUCUUCGUUUUUGAUGGAAUGGUCAAAGGGGUUUGACUUCAUCAAUGAGUAACGAAGAUGCUUGUGGUUUCAAGAAAGUAAGUGGGAGCGUAAUAAUAUUUCUAAAAACCUUGUGUGCUUGACACAUUGUUAAUUGGAAAUAAAUUUCUUGACACGAAUUAGGACUUCAUUUGAAAAUAGUUUUUUGAUGAAGUACUUAGGCUAAAUAGCCUCAAUAUUAGGCAUAAUGAUCUAUGGAGAUAGAUUUACCUAAUAGGGCUAAGCAAUAAAUACAUAUUGACAAGAUGAUAAAACCGUUUAGCACUAAGAACGACAAGGAGUGAUUCUUGCCGAAGUCACAUGGAAAGAGUUUUUGCAAGAAUCGGUGUCCCAAAACACUGAUGAGCAAAAUACAUGAUGCAGAUUCCACACACUUUUGUGUUUGGAUUAAUCAUGUAUUCCAUGGUAUGUAAAACAACUAGAUAUGUUCGAUACUCCCAAGGUGUUGCGAGUAUAGAUACUAAAGUGAUCAAAGUACUGAUCAUGGGACAACAGUGAAAGAUGUCAUUGAGUACUAGAGUAAGUACUGAUGAUAUGUUUUCUUACAAGCGGAGAUCAUGAAGAGUUCGUUGUAAAAUGUUACAUCGAUACAGUCUUCAUCUUUUCUCCAUGCGAUUUUCGAUUUAAGUUAAGGGUUUUGUGUAAUACACAAUAUGGUGGCACGGUAGUUGGAAAUUGUUCCGAACAGGAUACUGUGGCGAAUUCUAUAACAAAUGACUAAGUAUGUUGACGCUUUAGAAGCGACAAACAAGAUGUUGAAUCAUAUAGUUCAUUCAUGAACUUAGUAUGGUUCCAAGAAGGCUUUGGUCAAUGGGAAACUAUUGCAGAUAGUUGCUCCAUAGCUCAGUCUGAGGAAUCAGGUUUCGACCAAUGAUUCACAUAUAUACAAAGCCAAGUCCGCACAAAAUAUGAAUUUUGUGAAAGCGUGAAAAUGCGAGGAUAUGCAGAGAUACACAAGGAGCUGAAGUUUCCAGAUCCGAUGGACAUCAGGCUAUACCACAUGCAUUUUUUACACCAAUAUGCCAUAGGUGUAAAGUGCAUUAGCAUUAACUAGAUUAUUGACUCUAGUGCAAGUGGGAGUCUGUAGGAGAUAUGCCCUAGAGGCAAUAAUAAAUGAUAUUAUUUAUCUCCAUGUUCAUAAUUAUGUUUAUGUUCCAUGCUAUAACUGCUAUGGUUCUCGAGUCUGCAAUAACGCGAGGCUCGAAGGAAGACUCAUAUGCGCGUGUGGAAUAAUAAACGGUAAGAAGUAUUCUUAGUUUGGCCUCUAAGACUAGCUCAAGUGUUGCAUGAUGGUUCUAUUUUCCUGAUCAUGGGCAUGUCAAUGCCAGCAACUUUGAGGGCACAAUGUUAAGAGAACAUUUGUGUUGAAUCGACCCGGAUUGAUGUUAUGCUAUGAGAUUCAUUCGUCACAAGUUAAUGGUACAUAACACAGAGAUGGUUAACGUUUGCAUGAUUCCUUAGACCAUGAGAGUAUCGAGUUUCUUCAUGCUUGCUUCAUGAACUUUGGGGUUUGUUAAACGUCAUCCGUAAAUGGGUGGCUAUUAUGGCGGCUUACGGGUUCAUGGAAAAGUAUGUCAAGUAACUUGAUAGCUCAAGAUUGGGAUUUGCUCCUCCGACAAUGGAGAGAUAUUCUCGGGCCCUCUCGGUGUUACGGUAUCCAUCAUCGUCUGGCCAGACACAGUGUGAUUUGAUCACAGGGAUGCCGGAACACGGAAACAAGAAAAGAGAACAAAACCAGUAACAAGGUAACUAGCAUAGUGGACAAGUUGUUGAUCCACGGGGAUGCAAGUAAAUCUCACCUCGGGUCUUUGUAACAUAUCGCGAAGCAAGAGGAAUAGCACACGACAAUUGGAGGUUCACUCGAAUAUUCAUUCGUGUGGGUAUAGGGGUCAAUAUGGGUGUCCACGGCUCCGAUGUUGAUCAUUGAUCGAAAAGUGUUCCGGUCAUGUCUAUGCUUCACCGAACCUAUAGGGUCACACGCUUAAGGGUCAUCUAUCUGCUAAAUACUAGACAUGGAGUCUGAGAGAAAUUUGCCGAAAAAGUUUCGGAGACAAUGGAAGAGUUCCGGAGAGAGAAUAGAGAAAUAGUUUCGUAACACCGAAAAGUUGUUUCGUGAUAUACCAUUAAGUCAAAUUGGUUUCGGGACAUGCCUGAUAAUUCUUGCAGGGUGCCAGAAUUAUUCUGGAAACUUCUGGGAAUUUUUGGGGAUAAAAACCAAAAAUGUUUCGGAGCUGCCGGUACCGCUUUGGUUGUUUUUCGCAGAUGAAAUUCACUAAUCUGAAAUUGUUUCAGAACAAAUCCAAAAUCAUUUUAGUGGGUACUGGAAUUAUUCUAAGAUCCACCGAAAUAUUUUCGGAUUUAAUGGACGCGAAAAAUUGUCUUCAUGAAUAGUGAAAACGCAUUCUUGUUUGCUUUUCGCAGAUGAAAAUCACUAAACCAGAAUUAUUUCGGAACGCGUUGAAAAUUGUUUUAGUGGGUACUGGAAAUGUUCUGAGCCCACAUAAAUAUUUUCAAUUCGAACGGACGCUGAAAAUUGUCGUCAUAAAUAGAGUGCUUUUUGCUUGGCUUCUUGGAGAAGCCACCUUGAGGGCCUUUUGGUAUUAUCCCCUUGGCUUCUUGGAGAAGCCACCCUUGGGCUUGGCCUAUAAAUAGGGGUGGAGGGGGCUGGCUAAAGAGACACUCUUUCUCACAUACAAGUGCCAUUGCAAUGAUCUGGCUUCUCUCUCCCUCGCAGCAAAAUAGUUUCGUAGAGCCGAAAGACUGUCUGGGUUCCGACAGGAACUAGUUCUGGACGGCGAAGCCCUGCCGGAUAGGUGACACCGUAUGUGUGCAACUCUAUAGAGAGGUCGUAGUUUCGAUCUUAGUGCUCGAGGGGCUGUUCGAGAGUGCCUCCCAAAGGGCUGUCCAAGUGACGGUCCGAGUUCUAUGGGUCCUCCCGAAGGGCUGUCCGCGACACCGUCCAGGGGGCUGUUCGACUACCUCCCGGAGGGCUGUCUGAGGGGCAGAUGAGGGAGUACAUCCUCGCGGUUGGGAGGUUGUAAAUCCUAGCUGCGGGGAUCUGCACCGACGAUCGUCAUCGACUCUACUUCCGUUGUGCUACGAGUCGGUAACGAAAAUGAUCAAACCUUGUAUGCAGUCUCCAUAGUGGUCCUGGGCUGGUGCGUAGGUCGGAAAUUUUUUGUUUUCUGUCGCGUUCCGUUACAGUGUGGAUUUGGUCCUUGCCGUGGUAUUUCUCCUUCAUGGUCACCUUCUCGAGCUCGUUGGUGAUGUGGUUGGUGGCACCGCUGUCGAUGUACCAGUUGGUGUCGAUUCCAUAGGAGCUAUCUGCAGCCACCGCCAUGUUGUCAUCAUGUUGAGAGGAAUCGUCGUCCUCUUCGUAGCGGUACCAACAAUCUUUUGCUGUGUGCCCCAACUUGCCACAUAUCUGGCACCGUGGGGCAUCAGGACGUGCGCGAGGAUUGCCGCCCCCGCGGCGAGAUCUGUUGCUGGUGGGAGCACGCCCGCUGUUGCGGGAGUUGGAGCCGCCGUCGUUGCCUCCUCCAUUGGACCUCCCCAGGCCACGGGAGAAGCCACCACGUCGAGAGGAGCCACCACGUCCACGAGAGGCCGAGUUCACGGAGGACUUGAAGCCGCCACCGCCGUUCCCGUGGAAGUGCACCAUCCGCUGAUCGAAGUUGGAGAGCAUGGCGAAGAGCUCGACGAUGGUGACGGGGUGACGCGAGCAUCCAGGGCAGAGAUCAGCGGCUGGUAGUCGGCGUUGAGCCCGUGGAUGAUGCAGAAUAUGAGCUCAUCGUCGAGGAUCGCCUUGCCCGCCGCGGCCAACUCGUCGGCAUAGCCGCGCAUGGUGGCAAAGUAGGAGGCGACGGAGUGGUUUCCCUUCUACGCAUUGAUUAGAGAAGUACGGAUGUUGUUGAUGCGACUCACCGAUUGCGAUGAAUACAUGCCAGCGAGCGUCGUCCAGACGCGGUGGUGACCGUGGUCACCGUGAGGAGCACCUCCUUCGUGAGGUUGCUCAACAGGUAGCCAAGGACCUGCUGGUCCUCCCGGACCCAGAUUGGGUGGAGAGGGUUGGGCUUUGAAGUCGCCUUGCCUUCUUUGUCGGUGGUGACGAGGAGCUUUGCCGGCUCCGGCUGGGUGCCGUCGACGUAGCCGAAGACCACGGCGCCACGCAGUUGGGGUAUGAUCUGCGUGCGCCAUAGCACGUAGUUCGUGCGGGAUAGCUUCUCGGCGACCUGCCCAUUGAGACUAGGCUGGAAGGAAGCGCCGGAGGAGGAAGACAUGGUGUGGCUUCGACACAGGUGGUUCUGGUAGCUAGAUGAGUUGAAGAAGAGAGGCUCUGAUUACCAUGUGCGAGCGGUAAACGUCUUGCCCUUGUCGAGGGCGACGUGUUCACAUUAUAUAGCAGGGGAGCCAAAACCCUAGAUGGCUUACAUGCGGUUUGAGAGAGAGAUAAGAGAGAAUCUAGGAUACAUCUUGUGAGAGAAGAAAGGAGGAGAUGGUUACAAGAAUAUCUCAAUACAAACUACCUCCUAGCCUUAUCUCUAAUAAGCAUAGCCUUAUCUCUAAUAUUCUGCAUAUGAUGGUGUUUAACACACAUAACUAUCUAGCCAAACGUGAUUUACUUAACGGAAAGCUCUAAUUAUUACUAAAUGCAUUGCUUCCACCAAAUGUUGUAACACCUUCCCCCAAAUGCACACGGUCAUCUCUUUUUGUUUUUCAAAAUGCAUUGCUUAGGCCGAAGUGUUUGGCGGAAGGUGCAUGCAUUGGCGGAAUAUCGCUUGGAGCACUGAUGAAGAUCUUAUCGAUGUACUACUUACAAUGAGCUUGUACCGAUGUAACUCCUUAUAACAACCUAUGCCUCCGCCAUGAUCGCCCCCCUCCAUGCCAAGAGAGGCAUAGAGAUGGCCAGUGCACAUUACCCGCAUAGUGACGAUGACGAUUCUGGUGUACAGUUGAAAAGGGCAACUCCAGCGCGGAUAUCCAAACAGAAGACACUAGAUGUCCGUGAGAACAUCCCAACAUGUUGGCAGACAAAGGGCAGGGCGCCAGUCAUCCAACUGUAGACACCAAAUGUCCAGGCUAUUUAAAAUGAACCGAACACAAACACAAACAUAAUACAUGCUAAAUGGACGGAAUUUGUUAUGUUUUGAUAUAUUUACAACCAAACAACAAAAUUUAGCAAGUUCAAACUAAUUAUAAUCAAAGCUAAACUAGGCAAGGUACCAGAAGGAGAACUUGUAGGGACCUCCGUCAUCGUCCGCGCCAUCGCUCGAGCCAUUGUUCGUGUCGUCGCCACCGUUGCCGUGCUAGCGGCAGAAGACCCGCCAGGUGUCAUGACAUUCCUGCGCAUCCAUCACGGCGUGCUCACGCUUGAGAUGCUUCACCGCAUCCUUCGUGUUGAAGGCUCGGAUGAGUGCAACGCGCUUGGACUCCGCCAACCCCACUUUGUGGAGCUUGCCCUUGAGGUCGACUGGGGUCUUGGAAUGGUUGACGGCACAAGCCUCUGUGAGCACCCCAGGCGGGGGCAACCUGGCUUUCUGCAACCGCGGCCCUGCAUUUUGUAUUGCACCGCCUUCUUCUUGACGCUGUUCUUGGAUGACGAGGCGCCAACACCUUUGAGGUAGUAGUGGAAGCAUGACUGGUGUGAAGGGGCGGGGACACGAGCUCCUCCUUCUUGACAACAGGGAGCACCGGGCACCACUAGUUGCCUAGCUGGUGAUGCGGCGGGGAGGGGGGCUUCUCCUUCCAUGACAUUCGAUCUAGACGCCACAGUUGCGCAGAGGGCACAACGGCUCGGCCUUCACGCGAUGUCCGAUUUGGCCGCCGGGGUGGCAAGGAGGGGAGGGUAGCGCCUGCCCCCGGUCGAGCAACAACCGAUGCAACGCCUCCUCCAUCUACAUCGUGAAGUCGUCAUCCGUCUGCGCGGCUGCAACGAGUAGGGGCGGCUUUUGCUCCUCCUCCUUGUCUGAGAAGAUUUGUGCCGUGGACGACCGGAGGUGGUCGGUGCUGUGGACGACAAGGCGCCUCCCAACGACCGCGGGCGACGGUGCAAACUAGACCCAAAGCUCCCCCGUCCCACGGAGCCGGUCCCCUGGCGCGGUGGCGGCUGGUCGAAGCGGUAGGUCCCCAGCAGCCACCACACCUUGGUCUUCUCUGUGCCAGACUUCUUGCCCAUCGCGGCAGAGGUGUUUUCGACAUACGGCGACUUUGGGAGAGGAGUGAAUAAGUGUAGGGUUUGUGUCCGAGGUUGACCGACUUUAAUAGUGGGGGCAGGCCCGACGAAGUUUCAAUGUAGCGUAGUAGGCUUCUCGGUCACCGUGCUUGGUGUGAAUGCCGGUAGAGGGAACAACCAGUCAGCUGGUAUGAAUGCAGGUAGGUCGUCGUCCGGUCAUGUUCGCUCUAACCGGAUUGAAUACAACACAAAGAGAGGGUUCUAGAGUGAGUGGACACGGCAGGGGCAGGGGUUUUGGGUGGGUGGGUGGUGUCAAUGUACGACGUGACUGACGUUUGAACUCCCAAAUCUCCCCUAUUUUGAUACCGUUUUAAGAGAUUUUUUAUGACCGGACCAGUCUGAACAUUUUUUAUAGUCACGUUGAAUGGCUAAAAAUGUCCGGACCGUGUGGUCUAGACAUUUGCAACCAAUUAGGUUGUUGUGCAAAGCAUCCUAGUCUCGCCACAUAUGGCUCGAUGGAAGUGAAUAUGUGGAGGGUCCAGAAAUGCGGGUGAGCAAAACAUUGGUUCUAAGGGCAAAACAUAGUUUUUUCUAAUGAAACUUUAUAAGCAGGUAAUACUAAAAGACACCAUUUUUUUAUUCGCAAAAAAGACACUAUUUUUUAUUAAAAAAUAAAUCAGUUUGUUUAUUUAUCUUUACAAUCUUAUUACACUGUUCAAAACGAGAGCACACGAAGGAACGAGCACGAGCUCAUAUUUCUCCAAUGCACCAUUUUUUUUGAACGUCAAUAACGGCCGAACGUUCGUUCUCGAGAACCAUGUGCCCGAACGUAUUGUUCGGCGGGCGACUAGGUACCGACCGAACGAUUUCGUUCCAUCUGGAGAACCUCCCAGCCCGAACUACCCGUUCGAGAAAACUUAGCGCUAAGGAAAAGGAAAUAUGGGCCAAAAAUAGGCCCAUAUGUGAGCACAAGUAGAAGGACUUUAUAAAGGCUGAAAAGGCAUAAAAAGGACUAGAAGGAAAAAUUGCCCACGUGACUAUAUUACAGCCAUUUACUAAAAUAAUACCCCUCAAUUUGUUUUUACUAAAACAUGAUACUUAUAUAACACAUGAAAAUUCCAAAAAAUUGCGAUUCGAGUUUGAUCAAACUAUUUCAUAAUUUGGCAUGAUAUUAUUAUUUUUACAAUGGCAAGGUUUACAACAAAAAUGAUUUCUAAUACAGCAUGGCAAAAAAUAAAAAAUUGCCAAGGAAAAAGUUAUGUUCAGAAAUAUGACAUGGCAAAAAUUACCAGGAAAAAAAUAGAAUGCACAAAAUACAAACAACCAAAUGGAACAUAUGAAUUUUAGUUGCCAUGUUCAUAUGUAGAGUGAAUAGUUGAAGCAGAAAAGUAUGGACAAGAAACUUGCCAUGACAGAUUCAUAAAAAAAAUUGCCAUAUUUAAUAUGGAAAAAAUGUCAUGUACGAAGAAGUAAAACAACAAAAUUGCAAUGGCAAAUUCAUAUCAAAACUUGCCAUGCUAAUUUAAUUGAAUUUGCCAUGUUCUAUAUGAGAAAAAUGCCAUCUUUGUAAAAGCAAACACAAAUUAUGAAUAAAAAUGAUUGCCAUGGCGAAUUCAUAUCGAAAAUAGCCAUGGUAUUUCAAUUAAAUUUGCCAUGUUCUAUAUGAGAAAAAUGUCAUGUAUGUAAAGUAAGACUCAACUUAUGAACAAAAUUGCCAUGGAAAAUUCAUGUCAAAAACUUGCCAUGCUAUUUUAAUUAAAUUUGCCAUGUUCUGUUUGAGAAAAAUGCCAUCUUUUUUUACCAUGAAAAAUGCCAUAUUUGUAAAGCAAACACAAAUUAUGUACAAAAAAUUGCCAUGGCAAAUUCAUAUCAAAAAUUGCCAUGGUAAUUAAUAAAAAAUUGCCAUGUUUUGUAUUGGAAAAAAUGUCAUGUACGAAAAAGUAAAACUCAACUUAUGAACAAAAUUGCCAUGGCAAAUUCAUAUCAAAACUUGCCAUGCUAUUUUAAUUAAAUUUUUUAUGUUCUAUAUGAGAAAAAUGCCAUAUUUGUAAAGCAAACACAAAUUAUGAACAAAAAAUUGUCAUGGCAAAUUCAUAUCAAAAAUGGCCAUGGUAUUUUAAUUAAAUUUGCCAUGUUCUAUAUGAGAAAAAAAUCAUGUAUGUAAAGCAAACACAAGUUAUGAACAAAAUUUGCCAUGAAAGAUGUAUGCUAUAAAUUAGCAUGGUCUUUUAAUUAUAGAUGUCAUGCUUUUUGUUAGGAAAAAUGCCAUGUAUGUGUUCAUGUAGAGAAAAAUGUCAUGACCCAAUAACUAUAUUUGCCAUGGGGAGGGGUCGCCCCGAACGAAUUGUUCGCGCUGGACAGGGGAACGACCGAACGAUUUUGUUCGGCCCAGGAGCUCUCUCAGCCCGAACACUUCUAGAAACUCAUCACUUAUCACGAAUGCAACAAAAAGCCUAACAAAGACGCCAGUGUGGGCCUGUUGCACGAGAGACAUAAGAAAAACAGGCCCAUUUAGAUACUGAAAUACGAAAAAAAAACCCAGAAAAACUUUCUAAGAAAAGUUACCAUGUUUUGGCACAUACUAAAGUUUGCCAUGGCAAGUUGGAAAGUUUGCCAUGUUUUUGAAGAUUUUAAAAUGCCAUGGUAUAUUAUUCAUAUUUUUGAACAUCUAGAAAAAUGUUGCCAUGUUUUCUAACAUCGUAAGUUGCCAUGGCAAAGUUUGCCAUGUUUUUCAACAACUAUAACUUUGCCAUGACAAGUUUACAUGUUUUUCAACAUGUUAAUUAAAGAAGUUUGCCAUGGCAUAAAAUGGAGUUAAAUUUGCCAUGUCAAAAAGGGAGUAAAAAUUUGCCGUGGCAAAAAUAGUUUAAUUUUUUGCCAUGGCAAAAAGUAGUAGUUUUUUCCAUGGAAAUAAAUUAAAAAUUGACAUGGCCACACAAGUAUAUUUAAAAUGCUACAUAGUAAAAUUUGGCAUGUUCUAUAAAUUUAAAUUUGCCAUAAUAUUUGAAUUAAGAUUGACAUGCUCUCUACAAUAAAUUUGCAAUGGCAACUUUAACUAAAAAUUGCCAUGGCGACUUAACCAAAAAAUUUCCUUGUGAAAAUAAACGUAUUUUUGACAUGACAAAAAUGGAGUUAAACUUGCCAUGCCAAAAAUGGAGUAAAAAUUUGCCAUGGCAAAAAUGGGUUGAUUUUUGCCAUGGCAAAAGGGGAGUAGUUUUGUCAUGGAAAUAAAUUGAAAAAUGCCAUGGCUAUACAAAUAUAUGUACUAUGCUACAUAGUUAAAAUUGCCUUGUUCUGAAAAAUGUAAAUUUGCCAUCAUAUUUAAAACAAAAACUUGCCAUGCUCUUUACAAUAAAUUUGCCAAGGUAUCUUAAACUAAAAGUUGCCAUGGCAACUUAAACUAAAAUUUGUCGUGUGAAUAAAAGUAUUUUUGAUAAACUUGUGAAUUUCUGAAAUUUGCCAUAUGAUUUUUCUAAUAAUUGCCACAACAUUUUAGUAAAAAAAUGCCAUGCUUUUGUAGCGUUUAUCUCUUACUUAUGUCGUGUAACAAACAAACUAACAAGUUCAGAAGUUUGCACGGAAAAAAAUGAUGCAUCUAACAAAAACACGGAGACGCACAUGCCACAAACACAACUUGUUUGGUCAGUUUUGUUUGCUGCUAAAAGAAGCAACAUAUUCUGAUUGCAAAUUAUGACAACAUGGCAACUAGUUUCAGCCAGAAAAUGUAGUAUCAAGGAGAGUGGGGAGUGCUGAUGCAUCACGGAAAACAUUGAGAGGGAAAAAAUGCUAGAGGGUGAGAAUCAGGGGUUACUGAUGAAUUGUCUCUGGCUGGCGCCCAUGACACUGCUAAAAAUCGGUGUCCUGCAGAGCGAGGUAGGCAAAAUCGAUGGCGAGCCCAGCCCUCUCCCUGGCUUGCACCACCCCGCAGCCCUGCCUAGCCAGCAAGGUCGCAACCAUUUCGAGCUCGAUGCGCUGCGACUUGAGCAAGCGGGAGGGGGAGGGGGCAUCCCGUCCUCGACGCGGCCGACAACGCGCUCGCCGCCGCCGCCUGCGUCGGCUCUCGCCGGACAAGCGACAACCUCGCCUCCUGCGCGCGCUUCUCCUGAAUCGAGGUGCGCCUCCGCGCCCUGCCGUCGACGCCGGCGCCUCCUCAGUGCGGUGCUCUUCUCCCCGGCCACGAUCCGGCCCUGGCCACCACGACCACUCCUGCUGCUCACAAAUAGUUGCGCCCCCACCACCACCUCCCCGCGGUACGGACGCGCCACCACCUGCCAACCAGAGUUGACCAGGCGGAGUCCCGACGAUGUGGCCGCCGAUGUUGCGGCACGGCAGCAAACGCGCGCGAUGGCGAGGAGACGAGGAUAGGAUACGGCGGCGCCGACGAGCUUGGGACGGCGGUGCCGCGAUGGGGAGCUGGGGGCAUGAAGCGGAUGGGAGACGGUGGGAUGGGAAUGGAGAGCGAUGGGACAGAGAAGGGGAUGAGUGGUGCGAGCAUCUAGUUCGUUCGGGACGAUUUCUGUUUUCUCCUAAUGAUAUCGAUCGCUGACGUGGCUCUGGUCCCCUGCUUUAAGAUGCGUAAUCAAAUCCAGGAGUGGAAAGGAC